GCUGAUGGAGCACGCCGCGUGUGUGAUGAAGGCUUUCGGGUCGUAAAGCACUGUUGUAUGGGAAGAACAGCUAGAAUAGGGAAUGAUUUUAGUUUGACGGUACCAUACCAGAAAGGGACGGCUAAAUACGUGCCAGCAGCCGCGGUAAUACGUAUGUCCCGAGCGUUAUCCGGAUUUAUUGGGCGUAAAGCGAGCGCAGACGGUUGAUUAAGUCUGAUGUGAAAGCCCGGAGCUCAACUCCGGAAUGGCAUUGGAAACUGGUUAACUUGAGUGCAGUAGAGGUAAGUGGAACUCCAUGUGUAGCGGUGGAAUGCGUAGAUAUAUGGAAGAACACCAGUGGCGAAGGCGGCUUACUGGACUGUAACUGACGUUGAGGCUCGAAAGUGUGGGUAGCAAACAGGAUUAGAUACCCUGGUAGUCCACACCGUAAACGAUGAACACUAGGUGUUAGGAGGUUUCCGCCUCUUAGUGCCGAAGCUAACGCAUUAAGUGUUCCGCCUGGGGAGUACGACCGCAAGGUUGAAACUCAAAGGAAUUGCGGGGACCCGCACAAGCGGUGGAGCAUGUGGUUUAAUUCGAAGCAACGCGAAGAACCUUACCAGGUCUUGACAUCCUUUGAAGCUUUUAGAGAUAGAAGUGUUCUCUUCGGAGACAAAGUGACAGGUGGUGCAUGGUCGUCGUCAGCUCGUGUCGUGAGAUGUUGGGUUAAGUCCCGCAACGAGCGCAACCCUUAUUGUUAGUUGCCAGCAUUCAGAUGGGCACUCUAGCGAGACUGCCGGUGACAAACCGGAGGAAGGCGGGGACGACGUCAGAUCAUCAUGCCCCUUAUGACCUGGGCUACACACGUGCUACAAUGGCGUAUACAACGAGUUGCCAACCCGCGAGGGUGAGCUAAUCUCUUAAAGUACGUCUCAGUUCGGAUUGUAGUCUGCAACUCGACUACAUGAAGUCGG
rnacentral:rRNA from 1 species